rnacentral:misc_RNA from 1 species
GUCGUAACAAGGUAGCCGUAGGGGAACCUGCGGCUGGAUCACCUCCUUAAUCGACGACUCAGCUGCACCAUAAGCACCCACACGAAUUGCUUGAUUCAUUGAAGAAGACGAUUAGAAGCAGCGCCCGAGUUCGGGUCUGUAGCUCAGUUGGUUAGAGCGCACCCCUGAUAAGGGUGAGGUCGGCAGUUCGAAUCUGCCCAGACCCACCAGUUUACUGGUGAGAUAGCUGGUCAGAGUAGACGCCUCCACGGUAUGUAGAAAUACGGGGCCAUAGCUCAGCUGGGAGAGCGCCUGCCUUGCACGCAGGAGGUCAGCGGUUCGAUCCCGCUUGGCUCCACCACUUACUGCUUCUGUUUGAAAGCUUAGAAAUGAGCAUUCCAUUGAUCCUGAUGAUCAAUGCAUGAAUGUUGAUUUCUAGUCUUUGAUUAGAUCGUUCUUUAAAAAUUUGGGUAUGUGAUAGAAAGAAAUAGACCGGGCACCUCUUUCACUGGUGUGUGUCCGGGCUAAGGUAAGGUUUGUGAAAUGCAAACUUUCGGCGAAUGUCGUCUUCACAGUAUAACCAGAUUGCUUGGGGUUAUAUGGUCAAGUGAAGAAGCGCAUACGGUGGAUGCCUUGGC